rnacentral:rRNA from 1 species
AUUGAACGCUGGCGGCAUGCUUUACACAUGCAAGCCGAACGGUAACAGGCCGCAAGGUGCUGACGAGUGGCGAACGGGUGAGUAAUGCAUCGGAGCGUGCCCAGUCGUGGGGGAUAACUACUCGAAAGAGUAGCUAAUACCGCAUACGAUCUAUGGAUGAAAGCGGGGGACCGUAAGGCCUCGCGCGAUUGGAGCGGCCGAUGUCAGAUUAGGUAGUUGGUGGGGUAAAGGCUCACCAAGCCAACGAUCUGUAGCUGGUCUGAGAGGACGACCAGCCACACUGGGACUGAGACACGGCCCAGACUCCUACGGGAGGCAGCAGUGGGGAAUUUUGGACAAUGGGCGCAAGCCUGAUCCAGCAAUGCCGCGUGCAGGAAGAAGGCCUUCGGGUUGUAAACUGCUUUUGUACGGAACGAAACGGCUCUGGUUAAUACCCGGGGCUAAUGACGGUACCGUAAGAAUAAGCACCGGCUAACUACGUG